CCUGGUGUGCGUGACUGCUGAGAAAGGUGACAGGGAGUGUUCCCUGGACAGAGAACAAUGUGUGUGUCCUGCCUGCUCGGUCUGAUAGCCCGACUGCACAUACAUGAAUGACGCCAGCCUUAAGAAAAAGGAGUGUCAGCAUCCCUUCCUGUCUCACACCGGGGCUUUGUGGGCUUCAAUGCUGCUGUUGUACAGCAGUUUCCAGGCAGCUUCUUGCUGACCACAGCCAGAGCAGCAAGGAAGAUAACUUGACAACUUUAUGCCUUCUUCUGUCACUCUGAAUGCUGGAACCACUUGUCCCUGUGUUACAAAACAUCAAACAUCUUCUCUCCAUCAUCUGACAGUGAGGUGAAUCUUACCUGCUGACGUGAUUGCUUCUUUCUGGCCAAGAAUAUGCUCAUUUGCUGAAUUUAUCACGUUCAAAACUGAGUCUUGAAAUAAAUCUCUCACCUCUUUA